AGCUAUGACGUCAGAAUUCAUAUCUUUUAUGCGAAAAAAAGCAAUUGUGUAUUUAAUUUGUGUGGAUGGGAUUCGAUAUUGUUUGGUUAGGCCUUGUACUUAUGACAUGGGUUAGCCGGCCCACUGGGCCUCCUUCCCUCCCAUGGGCCAUGCCAUGUCGUCUCUCCUCUUUGCUCUCCGUCGACCAACUCAUCAACGGCGGCGGCGGAUAACCAGGCUUUCCAAAGCAGCGGCCAUGGCCGGUAGAAACCUUCCCUUGUUGAUCUGUUAAGUUUGAGCAGCUAGCCAUCGAGUCUGGAGGUGGGCUGCGACGGCGGUUGUGCUGCACGCGGCGAUGGCGUCCAGGCUCGAUCUACCUCCGCUGGGGGCUGCUGCUGCUGCUCAGGUACGGUAGCUCUUUAAAGCAUGGAGGGUGAGGAGAAGCAUUCUGGAAAACAUCUGCAAGCAACACUGGAGAAUGGUAAAAUCGUUACAGGUUUGUAGCGCAUGAGAUGAGGGGGCCUUACAAGGCUUAAGAUGAGCUGGGUACACACACAGUAGCAGUAGUGAGCUGCCAACAUGGGAUACCUUUACCUAAUGCUUGCUACUCCACAUGGUUCCCUCGGGGAUCAGACUGGGUACUUACUGAAAGUCCAAGGAGAGUCAGUACAACUGCUAUGGACUUGAGCAACAUAUUUAUUGUUGUGGAUAGAGAGCCAUGUAAAAGACAACAAUUAAGUGGGCUUGAGCUAGCUGCAAAGGCAAGUAGUAGUUGAAUGCUUUCCACCCCAUGAUGCCCAAUACAAUAUGCAAUGAAUAUAUCUGCCAUCCUGGAUCAUAACUUAAUUCGUUUUAGAUUAUUAUUCUCCGAAUGCAAGUUUUUACAGGAAUUGGAGAAAUUUGUUCCCCA